rnacentral:lncRNA from 1 species
UUGCGGUGCGUUGCGUUGCGUUGCGUUGCGGUGCGGUGCGGUGCGGUGCGGUGCGUGGCGCGCGCGCGCGCGCGUGCUCGAACGUGAAACGUGAGAAGCUCCCGUUGCGUUUCUAAUUUCUCUGUCUCUAUUUCUCUUCGUUCGUACGUUCCCAUUCGUUUCCGUUUUUCCUUUUCGUUUCGUAUUCGUCGUUCGUCGCCGACGACGAAACCAAAUUCGUGCGCGGAACAUACAAAAUCGUCGCCACCGGAAAUUUUAGAUAGAAAUAGAGAUAGAGAGAGAGAGAGAGAGAGAGAGAGAUGAAUAAAUCGUUGCAAUCGAAAAUAAUGUGUGAUAUGUGAGGUGUCAUUAAGUUUUACUAUUUCUACUUAUCUACUUUAUCUGCCUAUCUAUUUGUCUACAUUAUAUCUCGAUCUUUAACGGUUUGCAUCGUAUCCUUCGUGAAGAAGAUAGAAAAAAAAAAAUCGUGUUACUUCUGGUGGACAUUUAUAUUCCCCUUUUGACAACGAGAUGUUUCGUGGGAUUUGGAUACGAUGGCCAUUGCUAUCAACAUUUUUAUUGGGCUCCAAUAUAUUAUUGGUAGUUGCCCAAUGCGGAUCGUCUAUGCAAGAUAGACAAGAAAGGCAGGAUAGGCAAGACAAGUUAGCUUUGUAUAAGAUCACUCUGAGAACUUAUUGGUCGAGAGCACGAUUUCCACGACAUUAUCCUGAAUGGAAGCCACCGGCACAAUUCGGCAAACUUAUUGGUACUCAAGUAUGCGGAGAAUGCGAAUACAGCUGAGAGAA